GGGGAUGACUGGCUUCGACAGGGGAGGACGUCGUAGGUUGCAAGCCGAGCCGCCCAGUCUCGUUAAAGGGGCAACGGCAUUAACUGCCAACACAAACAAACUGGCUCAGCGUGGUAACAUGCUGGCCAUGGCUGCCUAACUAGUAGCCCGUUCGCCCACUCUCAGCCCGAUGGAGUGGGGUCGAGCGUCAACAGUCGGGCUGCUCCCGGUGGACCGCCUGCUAGGCCGGGUUAAGAUAAGCGGGCCGGCUCAAAGGUUGCUUUGUACGUUGUGUGACCGCGAGCGACAUUAAACAACGAACUAAGCUUGUAGUAAAUCUGCGGCUAACUUUUCUGGACGGGGGUUCGACUCCCCCCAUCUCCACCA
rnacentral:tmRNA from 1 species